AGGAUGAACGCUGGCGGCGUGCCUAACACAUGCAAGUCGAACGUCCUGUCUCGCAAGGGGCAGGGAGUGGCGGACGGGUGAGUACCACGUGGGUCAUCUACCGUGAGGUGAGGAAUACCGGCGAGAAAUCGCCGACAAGACCGCAUAGGCUCGAUGCAAGUCGAGCAAAGCUCUUUCGAGAGAGGGAGCGCCACACGAGGAGCCUGCGCCCGAUUAGCUAGCUGGUGGAGUAACGGUUCACCAGGGCGACGAUCGGUAGCUGGUCUGAGAGGACGAUCAGCCACACUGGGAUUGAGAACGGCCCAGACUCCUACGGGGGGCAGCAGUGAGGAAUUUUCGUCAAUGGGGCAACCCUGAACGAGCAACGCCGCGUGCAGGAAGAAGGUUUUCGGAUCGUAAACUGCUCUUCUCGGGAAGAGAAUGGACGGUACCCGAGGAAUCGAGCCCGGCUAACUACGCGCCAGCAGCCGCGGU
rnacentral:rRNA from 1 species